CAUGACUGUAGCAAUACAGUUGAUGGCGACCGGCAAACGGGUGCGGAACACGUACACAACCUUCCUUUAAGUGGGGAAUAGCCCGGGGAAACCCGGAUUAAUACCCCGUAAUAUAAUGAAGUGGCAUCACUUUAUUAUUAUAGCUCCGGCGCUUGAAGAUGGGUGUGCGACUGAUUAGGCAGUUGGCGGGGUAACGGCCCACCAAACCUACGAUCAGUAACUGGUGUGAGAGCACGACCAGUCACACGGGCACUGAGACACGGGCCCGACUCCUACGGGAGGCAGCAGUAAGGAAUAUUGGUCAAUGGACGCAAGUCUGAACCAGCCAUGCCGCGUGGAGGAUGAAGGUCCUCUGGAUUGUAAACUUCUUUUAUCUGGGAAGAAAUGCAUUUUUUCUAAAAUGCUUGACGGUACCAGGUGAAUAAGCACCGGCUAACUCCGUGCCAGCAGCCGCGGUAAUACGGAGGGUGCAAGCGUUAUCCGGAUUCACUGGGUUUAAAGGGUGCGUAGGUGGGUUGGUAAGUCAGUGGUGAAAUCUCCAGGCUUAACUUGGAAACUGCCAUUGAUACUAUCAAUCUUGAAUACCGUGGAGGUCAGCGGAAUAUGUCAUGUAGCGGUGAAAUGCUUAGAUAUGACAUAGAACACCAAUUGCGAAGGCAGCUGGCUACACGAAUAUUGACACUGAUGCACGAAAGCGUGGGGAUCAAACAGGAUUAGAUACCCUGGUAGUCCACGCCCUAAACGAUGGAUACUCGACAUACGCGAUAUACUGUGUGUGUCUGAGCGAAAGCAUUAAGUAU
rnacentral:rRNA from 1 species